CCAGUGACCCGGUCCAUUCUAAAGCUCAAAAUUAUCCAUACUCCUCCUCAUUCUCAAUACAGAGAUGCAAGAACAGAACAAACCAAAGAAGAAAACCAUUCCCCAAUUCCCAGCCUCAAUUUACUCGAAUUCGUACAAUCUACGUGCUUAGCAUGAGCCAAAAGACACGCGGAGCUUCCGGAGACAACCAUGGUGUGGUCCUUCUUAAUUUCCUUUUUCUCUUCAUUUUUCGCCUCAAAUUCGUACACUCUCCAGCUCAUACACUUUAUCCACUACGAAAAUUGGAGAUUUCAGCCUCUCCCACAUCGUUUCUGAAACGAUUUUGAAUUUGCAACAGUUCCACAUCGAGAUUUCAUUUUAUUUUGGGAUUUUUGGGUUUCUAUAUAAACCCGUCGCAUUCACUGUUUAAAGGAGGAUUUUCGGAGAACAAAGAGUACCCAUAAAGGUCUUGGGAAUUCUUGGUUCCAUAGUUUGUGGCUAUUCGAGUUUAGAGAGGUCGUCUUCGUUAAACUGUCAUCCGGUCCGCUGCCCGGAAAGAGUUCUGGCGCAUGCUUUCUGUUUUAUAAUGAAGCUGUCUUCGGGAUUUUUUGAUUGAAAGUGGUGCUGAUAAUGGGAAAUCGGAAGCAUUGAAACUCUUUUUUUGCCUGGAUAAGGAAUGUGAAAGCUUAAUUUAAGAACUUAAAAAUGAAAAUCAUGAGUUUGGUUGUUAUUUAGAGGGUUCUACGGUGAAAUUUUUAUGUUUUUCUAUGAAGCUCUAAAUGGUGACAUAACUUUGAUUUUGAUCCUCUUCAUCCAUGUUAUAAUGUUUUCUCUACUGAAUUUGAUCUAGUAGGUUAUCUUU